UUCCAGGGAUGGGAAUCGAACCCACAGUGUUCCGCUUACUGGGCAGAUGCCAUGUCCACUAGGCUACCCUGGA